GUUAAGACUUAACCCUUUUUUUUUAAUAUCUAACACUCCGUAUGGCAAUAGAAUUUGAUAUACCAAAGAAUUGUAUUCCAGCACAAAUAAUCAAGCACCGUAUAGGGUCUUGGUGCCGCAACAUAUAAGAAAUAUCCUUAGGCUUAUUAUUUCUUUUACCAUAAAGAACGACUCUUGUUAUCUUGAUUGAAGAUUUCAGACCUCGACCAGAGAAGGAAUAAGAUUCGGGGUUGCUAGAAUCUGCUGAUCUUCCUUGUUGUUCUAGCUACUUGAUCGUGAUAGAGAUGACUAAGUCAAGUCAAUGUUUGUUAACUCUAGUAUUUAUCACUGUGUUAAUAUCUUCCGUAUUUAUCUCUUAGUUAGCAUAACUGCCUUUUGUAUCUAUCUUUUCAUAGGUUGUUAAUAACUACUGUAAACCUAAUGUAUUUGUAUAAAUACUCUAGUGGCUAAUGAUAAUAUUAACUUUCCAAUACCUCCUCAUUCGUUUAUAGAUCGUACACAGACCGGAAACGGAGCUAUCUUUGAGUAGUAUUGAGGAGCAUCACUGUCAACACCUCUUGAGCCUCUUCAAUCUCGAAGUACGACAUUUUUCUUUGUUAUUGGAGCUGCCGUGAAAACAACAUAACGAGCUCUAGACUAUUGAGAUCCGCGAGCAUGGUGCAUAUCAAGGAAAUUCAUGAUAAAAGGCACAACUACUUAUGCAUUACUGAUGAGGAGGAAAAUGAUCCUAAGUCUGGUACUUGGUUAACCAUUCGUCCUUCAUUGGCGCCGUUUGGGGGGUACAGGACCCUCUUUUUGUACGAACAUUAUGCCUUUCAGUUAGUUUUGUUUUUUAUUCAUCAUAUGAAUUUUUUUGUUUAUUUAUUUAGCCGUUCACAUUUUAUACUCUUACGGGCCAGGAGUGUAGUAAUGAAUAAUUAUUUUUCCGUUCACAGUUUAGACUCUUGCGGGCCAGGAGUGUAGCAAUGUUUGUGAUUUUUUUUUGGUGUGGCUGCACUUGAAUAGUUUUUUUUUUUUUACUCAAGCUGCCUACGUACUUGCAAAAUAAUUGAUAAAUUACCUUGCAAGAUCAAGCCAACGUAGUUCAACAAACAUUUUUUUUUUGAGUGAGCAGUUUAUCCUCUUACUUAGGAGUUUACAAAGAUUUCAAUUUUCAUGAGUAGUACCGCUUUAGAAACUUGCCGUUGAUAGGCCCCACUCGUAGUCCUUCCGCGUCAACGAUUUUGUAUGCCCCAUUAGUGUAUACCUCUUGCACAACAUAUGGACCAUCCCAUUUUGAAGUGAAUUUACUUCCAGUCUUACGUGAAGUAAUGAUAGGUCGUCUCACUGCUAGAACUAUGUGCCCCACUUGAAAAGAGCGAGGUCGAACUUUCUUGUUGAAUGCGCGUGACAGACGAGCCUGAUAGCAUUCCGAUUUCUGUUGUGCCUGCAGUCUUUU